rnacentral:rRNA from 1 species
UAGCAUGAAGUCAAACAAGUGACCCCGCUGAAUUUAAGCAUACAAUAACGCGGGGAAGAAAAGGGGGGGGGGGAGGAGGG